rnacentral:misc_RNA from 1 species
GAUGAAGAACGUAGCGAAAUGCGAUAAGUAAUGUGAAUCGCAGAAUUCAGUGAAUCAUCGAAUCUUUGAACGCACAUUGCGCCCGCCAGCAUUCUGGCGGGCAUGCCUGUUCGAGCGUCAUUUCAACCCUCGACCUCCCCUUGGGGAGGUCGGCGUUGGGGACCGGCAGCACACCGCCGGCCCUGAAAUGGAGUGGCGGCCCGUCCGCGGCGACCUCUGCGCAGUAAUACAGCUCGCACCGGGACCCCGACGCGGCCACGCCGUAAAACACCCAACUUCUGAACGUUGACCUCGAAUCAGGUAGGACUACCCGCUGAACUUAAGCAUAUCAAUAAGCGGAGGA